rnacentral:misc_RNA from 1 species
GAAAUGCGAUAAGUAGUGUGAAUUGCAGAAUUCAGUGAAUCAUCGAAUCUUUGAACGCACAUUGCGCCCUUUGGUAUUCCAAAGGGCAUGCCUGUUCGAGCGUCAUUUGUACCCUCAAGCUUUGCUUGGUGUUGGGCGUCUUUUGUCUCCAGCUCGCUGGAGACUCGCCUUAAAGUCAUUGGCAGCCGGCCUACUGGUUUCGGAGCGCAGCACAAGUCGCGCUCUUGCCCAGCCAAGGUCAGCGUCCAGCAAGCCUUUUUUCAACCUUUGACCUCGGAUCAGGUAGGGAUACCCGCUGAACUUAA